GACGAACGCUGGCGGCGUGCUUAACACAUGCAAGUCGAACGGAAAGGCCCUGCUUUUGUGGGGUGCUCGAUUGGCGAACGGGUGAGUAACACGUGAGUAACCUGCCCUUGACUUUGGGAUAACUUCAGGAAACUGGGGCUCAUACCGGAUAGGAUCUCCUGCUGCAUGGGGGGGGUUGGAAAGUUUCGGCGGUUGGGGAUGGACUAGCGGCUUAUCCGCUUGUUGGUGGGGUAGUGGCUUACCAAGGCUUUGACGGGUAGCCGGCCUGAGAGGGUAACCGGCCACAUUGGGACUGCGAUACGGCCCAGACUCCUACGGGAGGCAGCAGUGGGGAGUAUUGCGCAGUGGGCGGAAGCCUGAUGCAGCAACGCCGCGUGCGGGAUGACGGCCUUCGGGUUGUGAACCGCUUUCGCCUGUGACGAAGCGUGAGUGGCGGUAAUGGGUAAAGAAGCACCGGCUAACUACGUG
rnacentral:rRNA from 1 species